GGAGGGAGCGUGCGGGCGAGCCGGGCCGCGGAGCUGGUCGCGGGUGCGGGAGGACCCGGGCCGGGGUCUCUGCGGGGAGCGGGAGCGGGAGCGCCCUCGACCCGCCCCUGUGCAGCGCGGCGGGGGGACCCGGGGAGAGUGCGGGGACGGUCCGCCGGGGCGCGGGGGUGAGGCCGCGGCGGUGGGACCGGCUGCCCGGUUGCUCCUCCCGAGACGGCGGGCUGGGGGCGGCUGGGACGGCCCCGCGGUCCUGCGUCCCUGGGGAAGCGGGGCACUGAGUGGCUCGGCUCUUGUACGGGUGCGGGUCUGCGCUGUGUCGUUUGGAUUCGGUUGACUCUGGCAGGUGCAUUUCUUUUGAUAUGGACGGACGGACGGACGGACGGAGGGAACAUCUCCCAGGCUGAGAUCCCGACCUGACCUCACGUCCAGAGUUGGACGCUUCACCGCGUGAGCCACCAGGUGCCCCUUUAGCGUAUGAAUUUGUAAAAAUCAGCCCCAUUGGAAAAAGUGAGGAUAAAAGAGGCCAAAAACUCAUCGUGGAAUCAAAAGAUCCGAGAAUCAGAGGUUCAUCUUGGGUCGGAAGAAGAGCAAGAGGAGGGUGGGGAGUGCGGGGGCCGAGGGGACGGACGAGCAGGACUGAUGCAGAAGGUCAGACCAGAUGACCUCCCCCGAGGACGGAGACGCACCACGGACGGUGGAAGCAGCAUCCUGUCUUGUUCCCAUCUCAGAGCGACGGUGUUCGCUCCGUCGAGUGGGGUUUACCUCUGCUGUUCGUCGGCGGCCUUUACCCUGGGUGGACGGCGGUGCCUGCUCUCCUCAGUGGACAGGCUCUUCUGUUACUCAGGAAAGGGAAGGACAGUUUUUAAAACACAACUGUUUAUUGUAAAAUACAGUGACAUAAAAUUAACAAGAAUGAAUUUGGACCCUUAACACUAUAUACAAAAAUUAACUCAAACUGGAUUUAACACCUAAAUGUGAGAUACAAAAUUUAGAAAACACAGCUGAAAAGCCUCAUGACAUUGUAUUUGACAGUAGUAUCUUCGGCAACACCAAAAGCAUAGGUAAUAAAAGGAAAAAACAAAAACUAGACUUAACAAAAUUUGAAAAUUUUGUGCACCAAAGGGCACAGUCAACGGAAUACAAAGGUAACUCACAGAAGAAAAUAUUUGCAAAUGACUUACCUGAUAAGGGACUGUUACCCUUAAAACUCAACAACAAACAACCCAAUUUACAUGAGAUUUCUUUCCAUUUCCUUGUCUUCUGUUUUCUGCAAGGUUUUAGAGUUUUCAUUGUACAAAUCUUUUACCUCGAUUAAAUUAAUUCUUAAGUAUUUUAUAACUUUUGAGGCUAUUAUAAGUGGAAUUGUUUUCUUAAUUUCUUUUAGGUUGCUCAUUGUUAGUAUGUAGAGGGGUGGCUGAUUUCUGUGUCUUGAUUUUGUAUUACUACAUUGCUCUAUUCUAACAGUUUUUUUUCUGUAGAAUCGUAGGAUUUUUUACAUACAAAAUCAUUUCUUUGAGCAGAAAUAACUUUACUUUUUCCUUUCUAACGUGGAUGCUUUUUACUUCUUUUUCUUGACUAGUUGCUCUGGCUAGAACCUCCAACACAAUGCUGAAUAGAAUUGUGGGAGGGGGACGAGCAUGUUUGUCUUAUUCUUGAUCUCAGUGGCAGCACUUCUUACACCGUUGAGUAGAAUGCUAGCCGUGGGUUUUUCAUAUGUGACUUUCUUAUAUUAAGUCAGUUUCGCUCCAUUCCUAGUCUGUUGAGUGUUUUAUCAUGAAUUGUGUCACGAGAUUUUUCUCUGUCAGUUGAGAAGAUAAGGUAAUUUUUUCACCCUUAAUUCUCUUUAGACCAUCUUUGUAUUCUAGGACUAUAUUUCAUUUGGCCACAAUAUAUAAUCCUUUUGAUAGGCUGUGGAAUUCAGUUCAUGUUUCGUUGAGAAUUUUUGUGUCAAUAUUCAUAGGGGAUGUUGAUCUGUAGCUUUUGUUUUUGUUUUUUCCUCUUGUGUCUUUAUCUGGCUCAGUAUUGGGGCAACAAAUGAGUUAGUGAGUUAGAAAGCGUUCUCUACACUUUGUUUUUUGGGAAAGUUUGAGAAGGAUUGGUAUUAGUUCUUUAAAUGUUUUGUAGACUUCUCCAGCAAAACCAUCCAGUCCAAGGCUUUUCUUCAUUGGAGGGUUUUUGAUUACUGGUUCAACCUUGUCACUAGUUACAGAUCUAUCUGGAUUCUCCAUUUCUUGGUGAUUCAGACUUGGUAGGUUUUCUAUUUAUGUAAAGUUAGUAAUGUCCCCUCUUUAAUUUCUGAUUUUAGCAAUUUGAGUCUUCUCUUUUUUCUCUGACAUUCUAGCUAAAUAUUUGUCAAUCUUGCUGAUUGUUGUUGUUGCUGCUGUUUUUUAAGAUUUUAUUUGUUUAUUUCAGAGAGAGAGAGAGAAAGCCCGAGCAGGAAUCAAGGGCAGAGGGAGAUGGAGAUGCACACUCCCUGCUGAGCAGGGAGCCUGUCAUGGAGCAGGCUCUGUCAUGAGCCAAAGCGAGACGUGUAACCAACCGAGCCAUCAAGGAGCCCCAGUUUUGCAGAUUUAAAAAAAAAUUUUUGGUUUUGUUUCCUAUAUUCUUUUUAUCCUAUUCAUUAUUUCACUUUUCUCCACUCUAAUGUUUAUUUCCUACUCUUUGCUAACUUUGGCUCAAUUUGUGCUGCUCUUUUUUAGUUCCUUUAAGGUGUAUGGGGGCACCUGGCUGGCUCAGUAGGUGAAGCAUAAGACUCUUGAUAUCAGGGUCAUGAGUUCUAUCCCCACAUUGGGUGCGGAGCCUACUUUAAAAAAAUUUUAAGGUGUUUAGUUCGGUUACUGAUUUGAGAUUUCUUAACUAUAGAUAUUUGCAGGUAGAAAUUUCACUUAAGCACUGCUUUCAGUACAUUCACUAUGUUUUGUAUGUUGUGCUUUUAUUUUCAUUUGUCUCAAAAUAUUUUCUAAUUUCCUUUAUGAUUUCUUCUUUGACUUCUGGUUAUUUAAGAGCAUUUUAAAAAAUUUUUCAAUUAUUGUGAGUUUUUCUUCUGUUACUGAUUUCUAGUUUUGUUCCACUAUAAUUAGAAAAGACAUUUUUAUGAUUUUUCAGAAUUUAUUAAAAUUCAUUUUCUGUGGUGAUUAUGUGAUGCGAUACAGGUUGGCUAAUGCUACAGAUGGAAACACUGGCAGUAUAGAAGCAUAUCGAAUCAACACAUUGUAUACCUUAAACUUACAUGAUGUUAUAUGUCAAUUAUAUCUCAAUAAAGCCGAAAAUUUUUAAUUUAAAAAAACGUGUUUUCUGGCCUAAAAUAUGUUUUACUCUGGACAGUGUUCUGUGUGCAUUUGAGAAGAAUGUGUGUUUCAUUAUUGUUAGGUGAAGAGUUCUGGAUGUAUGUCUGCUAGGUGUACUUGGAUUAUACCAUCAUUCAAGUACUCUUUCCUUCUUGAUCUUUUCUCUGGUCGUUCUAUCCAUUAUUAAAAGUGGGAUAAUGAAGUCUCCGACUAUUAUUGUAGAAUUGUCAAUUUCUCCCUCAUUUCUCCUUGUUUCAUAUGUAUUUGGUGCUCUGAUUCAGAUGCUAUAUGCUUACAAUUGUUGGAUCAUCUUGUUGGAUUAAAUUUUUUUUCUGUAUAUAAUGUCCUUCUUGUUUCUUAUAACCCUUUUUCUAAUGUAAAAUUUAUAGCCACCCCACACGCUCCUUGGUUUACUGUUUGCAUGGAAUGCGUUUUUCCAUCCUUUUACUUUUGACCUCUUUGUGUCUUUGAAUCUAAAGUGAAACUCUUUUGGACAGCAUAUAGAUGGAGCUUUUAAGAGAACAUACUCCACAAGUCUCUGACUUUUAAUUGGAGAGUUUCAUCCAUUUACGGUUAAAGUAAUGACUAAUAAGGAAUGACUUCUGCCAUUUUAAUAGUUCUCUAUAUGGCAUAUUUUUUUUUUAUUCCUCAAUUCUUUCAUUACUGCAUUUUUAAAAAAAUUUUAUUAUUUGACAGACAGAGAUCACAAGCAGGCAGAGAGGCAGGCAGAGAGAGGGGGAAGCAGGCUCCCCGCUGAGCAGAGAGCCCGAUGUGGGGCUCAAUCCCAGGACCCCGAGAUCAUGACCUGAGCCGAAGGCAGAGGCUUUAACCCACUGAGCCACCCAGGCGCCCCUCAUUACUGCAUUUUUGAUAUGCACUUGUUUUUCUGUAGCCUACCAUUUUGAUUCUCUUUUCUGUAUAUUUUAAAAUUUAUUUUCUUAGUGGUUAGCUUUGUGACUGUAAUUUGCAUCUUAAACUUAUAACGACAUAGUUUGAAUACCAAUUUAUUUAAAAUUGCUUAUAAUCUGUACAUACACCUCUCUGUCCCCUUAUCUGGUUACUGUCACAGAUUUCAGCUUUAAAAAUUAUAUGCCUGUUAACACAGGUUUACAAUUAAUGAUUUAUGUUUGUGCCUUUUAAAUCAUAUAGGAAAAGUCUUUUAAAAAAGAUUUUAUUUAGGGACACCCGGGUGGCUCAGCUGGUUAACCAGCUGCCCUCAGCUCACGUCAUGAUCCUAAUGUCCUGGGAUUGAGUUCCACAUUGGGCUCCUUGCUCAGUGGGGAGCCUGCUUCUCCCUCUGCUUGUGCUUGUUCUCUCUCUUGGAUUAAAAAAUAAAAUAGGGGCGCCUGGGUGGCUCAGUGGGUUAAGCUGCUGCCUUCGGCUCAGGUCAUGAUCUCAGGGUCCUGGGAUCGAGCCCCACAUCGGGCUCUGCUCAGCGGGGAGGAGCCUGCUUCCCUCUCUCUCUCUCUGCCUGCCUCUCUGUCUACUGUGAUUUCUCUCUCUGUCAAAUAAAUAAAUAAAUAAAAUCUUUAAAAUAAAUAAAAUAAAUUAUUUUAUUUAUUUUAAAGAUUUUAGGAUGAGCAGAGGAAAGGGCAGAGGAGCCUGCUGAGCAGGGAGCCUGAUGCAGAGCUGGACCCUAGGAGCUUGAGAUUGUGAUCUGAGCUGAAGUCAGAUGCUCAACUGACUGACUGAGCUACCCAAGCACCCCAACACUGGCUUUUACAUUUACCUAGGUAUUUACCUUUCCCAGUGUUAUUUCUUCAUGUAGCUUCAAUUUACUGUCUAGUGUCAUUUGCUUUUCAAUCUGAAGGAUUCCUUUGGGCAUUUCUUACAGUGCAGAUCCACCAGUAACAAAUUCCCUUAGCUUUUGUUUAUCUGGGGAUGUCUUAUUUCUCCUUCAUUCUUGAAGAGGAGUUUUGCCAGAUGUAAUCUUUUUUUUUUAAUUAAUUAUUUUUAAAAAUAAUUUAUUUUAGAGAGAGAAGAAGGGGCGGAUGGAGAGGGAGUGAGAAUCUCAAGCAGACUCCAUGCUGAGGACGGAGCCCAGUGAGGAGCUCAGUCUCAUGAUCCUGAGAUCACGACCUGAGUCAAAACCAAGACUGGAUGCUUAACUGACUGUACCACCCAGGCACCCCCAGAUACAGAAUUCUUGGUUGACAGGUUUUUCUUUCAACUCUUCAAAUAUGUCAACGCACUGCUUUCUACAACUCUUCAAAUAUGUCAACACACUGCUUUCUACCCUCCACAGUUCCUGGAAGUCUGACAACAUGGUCACACACCAUGUCCCUCCCUAAUGGCGAUGUGGAGCCCCAGAAUCCGAAUCUGAGGAUUUCCCGCAAGAAGCUGUGUUGGAACUCCCCCGCCUCCAGGUGGGAUCACAUCUAUUCCACACAGAUGACAACUUUCUGGUCUUCAGUUCCACAGGACAGAAGCUGUUCCACCACACGCAGCCACUGGGUGUCACCUGGGAUUUCUCGGGCUGUCCUCAUCUCCUCUGGGAAACUAACUGCCUUUUUAUAUCAUUCAAUAAACACAUUUAUUACAUUCCA